GAUUUCUGGUUUGAUGUGCCUGUCCCAUCACGGUAACGUGUGUGAGUGACGGUGUAGAUCUGCCAUCCUUCUAGAUUCGGCAGGCUACUCUUUACUGAGCUGGUCUGUCUGUUCUAGAUCUUUUACUUUGAAAAAAUUAGAGUGUUUCAAGCAGGCUUUUGCUAUGAAUACAUUAGCAUGGAAUAAUGAGUUAGGACUUCGGUUCUAUUUUGUUGGUUUCUAGGACUGAAGUAAUGAUUGAUAGGGACAGUUGGGGGUGCUAGUAUUCAGUGCGAAGAGGUGAAAUUCUUGGAUCCACUGAAGACUAACUUAUGCGAAAGCAUU
rnacentral:rRNA from 1 species